rnacentral:rRNA from 1 species
UACAGAGGUCUCAAGCGUUGUUCGGAUUCAUUGGGCGUAAAGGGUGCGUAGGUGGCGCCGUAAGUCGGGUGUGAAAUUUCGGAGCUUAACUCCGAAACUGCAUUCGAUACUGCGGUGCUUGAGGACUGGAGAGGAGACUGGAAUUUACGGUGUAGCAGUGAAAUGCGUAGAGAUCGUAAGGAAGGCCAGUGGCGAAGGCGGGUCUCUGGACAGUUCCUGACACUGAGGCACGAAGGCCAGGGGGAGCAAACGGG